rnacentral:lncRNA from 1 species
UAAAUGCAGCCGCUACAUCUACUGCUUCCCUGCUUCUUAGGGCAUUCUCUGACAUAAUUCAAGCUAUCUCGGCUACAGCAAAUACUUCCGCCUGGCAGUUACUGCAGUAAUCCGGAAGCUUGAAGGGUCGCUUGAGAUCCAGUUUCGAGCAAUAUUCCGGCUCCCACCCCAUUACCCAUUUUGGAUCCAUCUUCACAGCAGUGAUAUGGCCGCUACCAGUAUCAGUCACUUCUCCCACCGACGUUUGAAUUGAUAUCACAGUUCAAUCAUUAACUGUGUCAACGAAAAUUAACUGAUGACAAUCUAGAAUUGAUAUUCAAGGCUUCAGUAAAUAAUUCCAAAGAUUUAUUGCCUAAUGCCAUGUAGCCUGUAAAUACCGUAAAAUCAUCGAAGAUUGUACUUGACCUCAGACAUUUGUCCGCUAUUUUAACUUUUAGUUUACAGCUUAUCUCUGAACUAUAUGACAACCGUUUUAUGCCACAUUAUUAGAAGAAAUGACAAAAGAUUAUACUCUCUCUGUAAAUGGCUCAAGGGGAACUAAAUCGAAAACAUAUUCCAAUUAAUUUUUAAUUUUUCCAAUAAAACGCUGAUUACAUUCAACUGAUAAUGCAUACUUAAAGCAGAGCAAACUUUGAAAUGACGCAAGAGAAAAAAGAAAAAGAAUUGACGAACUCAAGGUGUUAUAAAUAAACUUUAAUUUCAGUGCCUUAAUAAUCAAGUGUGAAAAGGUUUAAAAACUUAAGAAAAAAAAUAUUGUAAAUAUGUUGAAAUAAAUUCACAAUUUCCUCCAUAGUUUCCGUUCAAAAAAGUCUCUAAAAACCGCUGACAAUUGUCAAAUUGUCAACCUGUCAAGUGAGAACUGUCAAUACGCCUGGCGGCGCGCUAAACGGCCGGCAAGCAUAGAUCACCUCAACGCUGAUUGACAACGCUGACACUUUCGUUGUAAAUGUGAGCACUUCUUCACUUCACACCAUGCCGCGCUCAUUUAUAUUAUUUUGUCUCAUUUUUUAUUUUUUCUAACGUGUUGCAAGUGAGUUGUGCGCUCCGCGUGCUGCUAUC